AUAAAAAGUUAAAAAGAAUAUUUGAAACACAAUCCAAAUAUUUAGAGAUCAAAAAUGGCUAUCACAAAAAAAACUUUAAUCACAUUUGUUUUUACCAUCAUUUUUCUCGUAUCUUCUGUUCAUUGUCUUACUACAGCUAGCGCUGUUACUCCGGAUAAUGGUUAUGGAGAAAUUAAGUCAGAGAUUUGCAUCAGCUCCAUGUCACCGUGUACUUGGGUAGUGCGACGAUAUUCCACUCCGGACGCACUAUGUAACCAAAUGUGUAUGAGAGGUAAAAACAAGCCCGGACAUUGUGUUAAUAGAAAAUGUUGUUGUAUUUUUUAAGUACAUGUCUAAGAUGAAAUCAUCUUAGCAUAUGUUUUUAAAUAUCUAUAACAGAAGAUCUAGAACAAAAUAAACAAUAUUUACCAGA